rnacentral:rRNA from 1 species
CAGUCGCCACGGUAAUACGGAGGGUCCGAGCGUUAAUCGGAAUUACUGGGCGUAAAGCGUGCGCAGGCGGUUUGUUAAGCGAGAUGUGAAAGCCCUGGGCUCAACCUAGGAAUAGCAUUUCGAACUGGCGAACUAGAGUCUUGUAGAGGGGGGUAGAAUUCCAGGUGUAGCGGUGAAAUGCGUAGAGAUCUGGAGGAAUACCGGUGGCGAAGGCGGCCCCCUGGACAAAGACUGACGCUCAUGCACGAAAGCGUGGGGAGCAAACAGGAUUAGAUACCCGGGUAGUCCCUGUCUCUUAUAC